rnacentral:misc_RNA from 1 species
GAUGAAGAACGUAGCGAAAUGCGAUAAGUAAUGUGAAUUGCAGAAUUCAGUGAAUCAUCGAAUCUUUGAACGCACAUUGCGCCCGCCAGUAUUCUGGCGGGCAUGCCUGUUCGAGCGUCAUUUCAACCAUCAAGCCCCCGGCUUGUGUUGGGGACCUGCGGCUGCCGCAGGCCCUGAAAACCAGUGGCGGGCUCGCUGUCACACCGAGCGUAGUAGAUUUUCAUCUCGCUCAGGGCGUGCUGCGGGUUCCGGCCGUAAAAAGCCUUAUUUACCCAAGGUUGACCUCGGAUCAGGUAGGAAGACCCGCUGAACUUAAGCAUAUCAAUAGCGGAGGA